CUUUCCAAUUUAAUAGUUUUUGUUUGGGAAAAGAGUAGAACCUCUGUUGUACCUCUUGGAUUGUGAAUUGCCACAAGUUAAACACCUUUUUUAUAAUUUUAAGUUACUUUUAAGCACCUAUAUAGUAUCAGUUUGGAAUCUGAAAGAAUACUCACAUUAACAAUUAUUUCUACCAAUAGCUAUGGACAUUGUAGUUACAGAUAGUUCUUACUGGAUGAUCCAUUCCACCUUAAUUUAUUACCACAAACACAAAAGGGAAGUGUCUUUACACAAAUUAAUGCGCCUACAAAAUAAAACCCAAGAGAGAAGCUGGAGUUAGUUUGGCAGAGCUACCGGGUUACACAAUGUCUGGGGAGGACCUUUAUACAUAUCCAUAUGUAUACAUACUGUAGCCUCUUAAUUGUGCUUAAGGAAAUGGCACUGACAUACAUUGUGGGUGUCAACGUUGCCCGCAA
rnacentral:lncRNA from 1 species